ACAGGGUUUCUCUAAGACUCACUCCAAGACGAUGACAGUAAACUCUCCAAGGAGAUUGCAAAAUAAAAGACAGAUACAGUAACAUAUAUCAAAUACAUAUCGAUCGGGAAUAUCAACAAAUUCCCAAGCGCCGUAACUAGGCAGUUCCACAUAAACCAGCAUUGCUCCUGAUCAAGACUUGAUUACAGAUACAGUAACAUAUAUCAAAUACAUAUCGAUCGGGAAUAUCAACAAAUUCCCAAGCGCCGUAACUAGGCAGUUCCACAUAAACCAGCAUUGCUCC
rnacentral:misc_RNA from 1 species